UCCCAGCUGCCCAGCAAGGAGGAGAAGGCUGGAUAGCAGAGAAAUGGCAACUCAGCCGGGAGCGGGAACUAGAAACUUUCUGUCCAUGCAAACAGCCGCGUGGGUGGUGGAGAAUUGCAAGGGAGGGAAAAAAAAUCAAGAUUGGGGGGAAUUACCCACAGAGACUGAAGGUGUGUUAACUUGGGCGCUUCUUGGAUUCUACCCUGAGGAGGAGGCGCAUGAUCUUGAUCUGCCGCUCGCUGAGGUUCAGCAGGUUGGCCAUCUCCACGCGGCGCGGCCGGCACAG